GACGAACGCUGGCGGCGUGCUUAACACAUGCAAGCCGAACGGAAAGGCCCUGCUUUUGUGGGGUGCUCGAGUGGCGAACGGGUGAGUAACACGUGAGUAACCUGCCCUUGACUUUGGGAUAACUUCAGGAAACUGGGGCUAAUACCGGAUAGGAGCUCCUGCUGCAUGGUGGGUGUUGGAAAGUUUCGGCGGUUGGGGAUGGACUCGCGGCUUAUCAGCUUGUUGGUGGGGUAGUGGCUUACCAAGGCUUUGACGGGUAGCCGGCCUGAGAGGGUGACCGGCCACAUUGGGACUGAGAUACGGCCCAGACUCCUACGGGAGGCAGCAGUGGGGAAUAUUGCACAAUGGGCGGAAGCCUGAUGCAGCAACGCCGCGUGCGGGAUGACGGCCUUCGGGUUGUAAACCGCUUUCGCCUGUGACGAAGCGUGAGUGACGGUAAUGGGUAAAGAAGCACCGGCUAACUACGUG
rnacentral:rRNA from 1 species